UGAGGAAUAUUGGUCAAUGGACGAGAGUCUGAACCAGCCAAGUAGCGUGAAGGAUGACUGCCCUAUGGGUUGUAAACUUCUUUUAUAAGGGAAUAAAGUGAGGGACGUGUCCCUUUUUGUAUGUACCUUAUGAAUAAGGAUCGGCUAACUCCGUGCCAGCAGCCGCGGUAAUACGGAGGAUCCAAGCGUUAUCCGGAUUUAUUGGGUUUAAAGGGAGCGUAGGUUGACAUAUAAGUCAGCUGUGAAAGUUUACGGCUCAACCGUGAAAUUGCAGUUGAUACUGUAUGUCUUGAGUGUGCAAGAGGUGGGCGGAAUUCGUGGUGUAGCGGUGAAAUGCUUAGAUAUCACGAAGAACUCCAAUUGCGAAGGCAGCUCACUGGGGUACAAUUGACACUGAGGCUCGAAAGUGUGGGUAUCAAACA
rnacentral:rRNA from 1 species